UCAUGAUUUAGCCCAACCAUUCAGCAAAGACUAUGUAUUGACACUUCCCUCACAUAGACUCUACGAUUGUGUCAUAGCCCUGCUUCCUGGAGCCACUCUGCCCAGCAGUUGCUUCUAUAACUUGUCCAAGCCCAAGAGCCUGGCCAUAGAGAAUUAUAUCUGGGACUCGCUGGCAGCAGGCAUAAUCCAUAACUCGUCUCCCCCCAAGUUACAGAUUAUGUCCCCAGCCACACCACGUACCUUCUCCGCCUGCUCAUCUGACUGCUCUCCCCUUAUUAUUUUGACAGCUAAGUAGCUCGCUUUGUUUUGGUGCCAGUAUCUGAUCAUUGGAAUAUUUUUGAAUUUUGUAACUCGAUCUUGCUAGAGCCAUGUUGCUGUUUGAUUCUGCUGUGUCUCGUUGCCAUGUCUUGUCAUGUGUGCAUAUCUAUUGUCUAAUUCUUUGUUGUGUGCAGUGAGCAUUUAAAUUUGCAGUCUGUGUAACUUACCUAGUCUGGUGUUACCUGGUGAGUUUGUGUGAAUGAAAUUGUUAAACUUUGACUCUGUGUCUGGCAUGUCUCUGUCUGUGCCUGGGUCUCUGUAUUUCUCAUAAUAUAAUGAUGGUCAACAGGAUUCUGUGACGUACUGUUACGCACCCGUCUAGGGGGAAGGUGCGUAGCAUAAUGUUUGUUUAAAAAUAAAAAAAUAAGGUGGAAUAUUUUCCCAGUCCCCAAAAAACAAUGAACAGUUUGUAGAAAAAUUACAAAAAGGUUUAUUUACACUAUUUACAAAAUAAAAGAGGCCACCACAUGGGCUAUUCAUUCAAGCAAAAAAAAAGAAAACAAACAAAACAAUUGGAUACAAACUAAAGAGGCAUUAUAGCACUCAAACAAAAGAUCCUAUCCAACAAAACCGCCACUUCUACAAAAAUAUGCCUAAGUCUAACAAACAAAAAAAAACCACACUAUAUUAAUCUAACCAGAAAAACACAGGUAUCACGGCAAAGGUUUGGAGUCUGGGAAAAAACAACGGGUGCUGCUGUCAGAGAGGCUCCCAUCAUCACUGCCGGCCGCCAAGAUUUGAAAUAGGUUACAGCCAAUCAGCACUGGGUCCGCCUUGCCACCAAUCAGCUCCUGCACACAAAGAUCCACAAAGACAGAACACCCACUACCAACCAACAGGACGAAACAGACCACAAGGAUGAAACAAAGAUCUACAAACAAACACAGAACACCCACUCCCAGACAAAAAAGAUUUCAAAACUACAAACACAUUACCAAAAUACGGCCACAGCCGUAACACCCCCAUACCUAAAAAAACAAACAUUUCCCCCAUAAUGUUUGUUCUCUUAGGGAGGGAGAUGUACACGAGACAGAGCAUCAGCUAACACAUUUUCAUUUCCUUUUUUGUGGUGGAUUUCAAUAUUAAAUUCUUGCACCAGCAGUGACCAUCUCAUCAGCCUGCGGUUUUUGUUACCCAUCUGUGCCAGGAAUACGAGGGGAUUAUGGUCAGUAAAGACCAGAACGGGCAGCGAGCUAGACCCAACGUAUACUUCAAAAUGUUGCAGGGCGAGUAACAACGAUAGUGCCUCCUGCUCAAUGGUGCUAUACUGGAGUUGGUGUCUGUUGAAUUUUUUUGAAAAGUACGCAACAGGAUGGUCAACACCACUUUCAUCCUCCUGCAGCAGCACCGCACCAGCACCACGCGCGCUGGCGUCGACCUCCAGCUUGAAGGCGCGCGAGAAGUUAGGAGCAGAGAGGACAGGUGUGCUGCAGAGGAGCACUUUAGCGGACUCAAAUGAGUUCUGGCAUGCUGAGGACCAGACGAAUGGCCGAGAGACACUGGUCAGGCUAGUCAGAGGAGCAACAACGUCAGCGAAGUUUCUACAAAAGCCUCGGUAAUAGCCUGCCAUUCCGAGGAAACGACGGAGCUGGCGCCUGGUUUGAGGCAUGGAAUAAUCAAUGAUGGCCUGGAUUUUUGAGGAGAGAGUGCGCACCUGUCCCUGGCCUACCUCCUUACCUAAAUACGUAACGGUGGCCCUACCGAAUUCACAUUUGGCCAGAUUAAGGGUGAGGGACGCUUUCUGCAGCCUGUCAAAGAUAACAUGAAGAGCUUUCACAUGCUCAUGCCACGUGUUCGAGUAAACAACAACAUCGUCUAAAUAAACUUCACAGUUACGAACACCAGUCAGAACUUUAUGCAUGAGCUGCUGAAAGGUGGCAGGAGCAUUCCGCAGACCAAAGGGCAUGACUGUAUACUGCAGGAAACUGUUGGGAGUAACGAAAGCAGAGAUCUCAGAGGCACGAGCCGUUAAAGGGACUUGCCAAUAGCCCUUCAGCAAAUCCAAUUUCGUCACGAAUUUGGCCGAACCAACGCGGUCAACACAGUCCUCCAUCCUGGGCAGAGGAUAGGAGUCAGGCGUCGUUACUGAAUUAACUUUUCUGAAGUCAGUGCAGAAACGAGGGGUUUUGUCUGGCUUCAGCACGAGCAAGCACGGAGAGCUCCACGCGCUGGAGCUAGGGACUGCCAAGCCAUUUUCCAGCAGGUAAGCUACCUCCUGCUGAAACAGAGCGCGCUUAGUGGGAUUCACACGGUAGGCAUGUUGUUUAAUGGGCGCAUGAUCAUCGACAUCAAUGUCAUGAGACAGAACAGUAGUGCGGGAGGGAGUGUCUGAAAAUAAUGACAGGUGAUUAUUAAUUAAAGUACAAAUAUCAUUCAUGGCGGUGUCACUCAGGUGGGAAAGGUGGGAUUUUAAAUCUGUCAACAUUUCUGAGUUUUGGAGACGAGCGCAAGGGUCAGUAAUAGAGACACGAAGGCCGUCACUCAGGGAAAUACUGAGAGGGAGGCAGAGGGACACUAGAAACAGAGAGCACGGCUGGAGAUAACGAAGUGACAUCCGAGUCACGAUCAAAAUAAGCCUUCAUCGUGUUGAUGUUCCACACGCGGGUCUUCCUCCUCCUAUCUGGGGUUCCAACAACGUAAUCAGUUUCACUUAACUUUUUUUGUACAAUAUAGGGCCCGCAAAAUUUUGCCUGAAGGGCAGAACCAGGAAUUGGAAGCAGAAUUAGGACUUUGUCACCAAUUUGGAAUUCUCUUUUCACACUUCGUCAAAUUUCUUUUUCAUUCUCUUUUGGGACGCCAAGAGAGAACUGCGAGCGACAUCGCAGGCUUUAUGCAGGCGCUCCCUAAAAGAACUCACAUAAUCUAACACAUUUACAGGUGGGCCUGGAGUAUCAGAGAGGUAUUUCUCACGGAGCCAUCUCAGAGGACCACGCACGGUGUGACCGAACACUAACUCCACAGGACUAAAGCCUAUAGACUCCUGCACACUUUCAUGCGGCGCGAGGAGGAGAAAAGGCAACCCUUCAUCCCACUCCUUACCAGACUUGAGACAAUAUUUCCUCAUCAUGGACUUUGUCUGAUGAAAUCGUUCCAGUGCACCCUGAGAUUCUGGAUGAAAGCUGCUGGAUUUUUGGUGUUUUAUGGACAGAGUGGAAAGAACCUGAGCGAACAGUUUGGAUGUGAAAUUAGUACCUUGAUCUGUCUGGAUAAAUUUUGGCAUGCCAAAUGUGGAGAAAAAGUUUACCAGGGCUUUUAUGACAGCCUUGGUUUUAAUGGUGCGCAGCGGUAUAGCCUCGGGGUAUCGAGUUGCUGCACACAUCAAAGUCAAAAGGUACUGAUGACCGGACUUUGUUUUGGGAAGUGGACCUACACAGUCUAAGAUUAUGUGCUCGAACGGCUCACCGAGAGCCGGGAUUGGGUGCAGAGGAGCAGGUGGAAUCACCUGAUUCGGUUUGCCGCUAAGCUGGCAGACAUGACAGGACUUACAGAAUUUCGACACAUCACUCUUCAAACCUGGCCAAAAGAAAUAACGCAGAAUGCGAUGGUAAGUCUUUUUAAUUCCUAAAUGACCAGAAAAGUUAUCAUACGCAAGACUAAGGACUUGAGGACGAAAUUGUUGAGGCACAACUAAUUGUUGAAACGAAUUCCAACCCAGAUCACCGGAUGCGGGGGAGUACUUACGCAUUAAUAUGCCGUUAUCAAUGCAGUACACGGAGGGAUUUUCAGUGUUCGCGCUGGCAGCAGAUGAGAGGCAGGUUAUCAGAGAUGGGUCAUUCUGCUGUGCAAGAACAAACUCAGCCCUAUCAACAAUGAAAGACAGGUUAGCAUCAGUUGGUAACAAAUCUUCAACUACACAUUUCCCAGAUUUUUCAACAGUUUUUUCUGUUUUCACCAGAUCAUCAUCAGAACACAUGAAUGAAUCAGAUAAAUCCAUUACAUCACCAUACUUGCGUGCCUGGCACGCGUAACGGCACAAGCCGGGAACACAGAGGAGUCACUGACAGCAGCAGGGGCCGAAAAAUCCACAAUAGGAUUGUCGAUCACUUCGGGCGUCGGAAAAACCUUUUUACCCGCUAAAUCGUUGCCAAGAAUGAGCGCAACACCGCGCACUGGUAAACGAGAACGAAUGCCAAUUUUAACCGGGCCAGAGACAAGAGGUGAGCGCAGAAAAACGGUGUGCAGCGGUGCUCGUAACGCGCUCAUUUUAACACCCCACAAAAGAGCAUCGGAACCACAAAAAGAUUUGUCAGAAAACGGCAAAACGUUCUGCAGAAUAAGGGACUGUGCAGCCCCCGUAUCGCGCAAAAUAGUGAUUGGAACCUGAUUCUCCUCCUGACCCAUCAGCGACACCGAACCCCUGAGGAGGAAUGGGCGGUAAGCUUCAUCCACCUCAGCAGAUUUACCUGUGCUGACUGGAGAGAGAGCAGGAGCAGGCUGAACAAAACCAACAGUUUUAGGUUUUUUAAUAUUUGGGUUUUGUUUGCGCUUCGGAGCCGGACAGUUCGAAAUCAAAUGCCCAGACUCAUGGCAGUAAAAACACUCACGUGUCUCAGCGGACGCGAAGUUUGUGCGUGGAGGAGUUUUAGGUGAUAUGUGCAGAUUUUUCCCCACACCGCCAGAGGUUACCUCACGGCGCACCGGAGGGAAAGAGACACGAUGUGUUAAAACAAACUCAUCAGCAAACACAGCAGCUUUUGACAAGGUAUCGACUUUUUGUUCGUUUAAAUAAACGACAAUUUUAUCAGGGAGACAUGAUUUAAACUCUUCCAGUAAGAGCAGUUCACGGAGCUGCGCAAAAUUAGACACUUUACUCGCAGCACACCAUUUGUCCAACAAAAGAGUUUUCUCCCUCGCAAACUCCACAUAAGUUUGAUUGGCAGAUUUUUCACAGUUGCGGAAUUUCUGGCGAUAAGCCUCCGGUACCAAUUCAUAGGCCCGCAACACAGUAGCUUUAACAACAUCAUAAUUUAAUCAAUAGAUAAGGAUACACAAACUUCCUGAGCUCUCCCCACUAACUUACACUGAAGCAGCAAACUCCACACAUCUUUGGGCCAACUAAGAGUUGCUGCGAUGCGCUCAAAGGCAUUAAAAUAAGAAUCUACCUCUGUCUCCUUAAAUGUUGGCACCAGAGCAAUAUGUCUACUGACAUCAAAUUUUUCAGCGACAGCGGCGGGAGGAUUUAAAGGGCUGGACAAAGGAGAAGCUUUAUUCAGCUCCAUUGCCCUUAUACAGAGAUGCAUAAGCUCAACCUCGCGGGUUUUUGUUUCCAGCUCCACCUCCUUCAUACGAAGGGCCAGUUUCAGGUCCUCCGUAUCCACACCAGCCUGUAGGAGAGCGACAGGAUCAGGAGAGGCCAGAGCGGGUGUGGCAGCCUCCGCUCCCACAUCCACCAGGCCGCUGGGGAUCGGCUUGGCCGUGGUCGCCUCCGCUUCCAUCGGACUUGGCACACCCACAGAAGCACUGACAUACUUAGACUCUGCUUUUACUAUGCCCUCCUCCACCAAACGCUGUGCCAAAUGGGCCUUAAUUUCUGCCUUUUUAGCCAUAAAGGGCAACGAAAUAUUGAAUAAAUUGGCAAUCAGUACCAAAUCUGCUUUGGUGCACCUAUUUAAUUUAUCCAGGGUAGGAUUUUGUGCAAACGUAUCCAGAUCCAUACUCACCCCCCACACACAGAGAAAAACUGCCAACCAAACAAAAGCACUAUUAAACAAACCGGAGAAAUACUCACCACGACCGCAUGCGAAAAAAAGGAACGAGACGAGCCCCCAAAUUAUGUUACGCACCCGUCUAGGGGGAAGGUGCGUAGCAUAAUGUUUGUUUAAAAAUAAAAAUAAAAAAAAUAAGGUGGAAUAUUUUCCCAGUCCCCAAAAAACAAUGAACAGUUUGUAGAAAAAUUACAAAAAGGUUUAUUUACACUAUUUACAAAAUAAAAGAGGCCACCACAUGGGCUAGUCAUUCAAGCAAAAAAAAAAGAAAACAAACAAAACAAUUGGAUACAAACUAAAGAGGCAUUAUAGCACUCAAACAAAAGAUCCUAUCCAACAAAACCGCCACUUCUACAAAAAUAUGCCUAAGUCUAACAAACAAAAAAAAACCACACUAUAUUAAUCUAACCAGAAAAACACAGGUAUCACGGCAAAGGUUUGGAGUCUGGGAAAAAACAACGGGUGCUGCUGUCAGAGAGGCUCCCAUCAUCACUGCCGGCCGCCAAGAUUUGAAAUAGGUUACAGCCAAUCAGCACUGGGUCCGCCUUGCCACCAAUCAGCUCCUGCACACAAAGAUCCACAAAGACAGAACACCCACUACCAACCAACAGGACGAAACAGACCACAAGGAUGAAACAAAGAUCUACAAACAAACACAGAACACCCACUCCCAGACAAAAAAUAUUUCAAAACUACAAACACAUUACCAAAAUACGGCCACAGCCGUAACACAUACGUUACACGUACGUUACACGUUCAAAGUAAAAACUCUGAUGUCAAAAGGAACUGAUCAGGGUUUGUGACCAGCAGAGACUGCACUGGCACACUCAAAAGGCAGAAACUGGAAGUUGUUAACUGGGGUUCUCUGUGUUUUCUGUAAUUUCAAUGUCUGUGCUUCUUUUAGUAUUCACCUGAAGAGCUUGAAUGCUAACACAGACAUGUCCUAUCUGGCUCAGAAGAUGGAGGAGGAAUGUCCUUUGAUUCACCGGUCAAAGCUUUGUGAGACAACCAGAAAAGGAAAUGUAUCUCACCUUGAGACUUUGCACUUUCCGCAGCUAGAUGAGAAAGCAGGUAUCGGCAGCAUUGACGUGUGGAGUUGCUCCAUGAGGACAUCCAUGUGGAGAUAAGAGAAGCCACUUCUCUUUCAACUUGCUCACAACCUAGACGACCUCUAGAAACUCAGAAUCAUGCCUUUCCUCAGGAAUUUCAUCAUUCAUUGUGAAACGCCAGGUUUAUCAAAAUACAAUAUAAUGUUUCCUCUUUUAUCUCUUCAUGCACUUGUACGUACAAAGUGCAGGAAAACUCUAAAAAUCCAAAAACAUGUUUAUAACCCACAUUACUGUGUCGGUUUUCAAGACUACUGCUGAUGUAGAUGUGCCUCUUUAAAUAAUAAAGUAGCAUUUUCCCAUAAGGCUGAGCUUGUCAGAUAAGUCCAUAUUAGAUAAGUAAAUAUAUUUUAAUUUUUUAAAAAUAUUAUACUCUCUUUUCUGUGCUUGAAGGUUUAUUAAAUAGUUGGUUAUAGGUUAUAUUUGUUCUGUUAAUGCGUCAGUGCAUCAUUGGUUGGAUGAUGCCUGGCUUAGGUGUUAAAAAGCAGACAGUUAGCUUUUAAGAGGUAGAUGUGGGACAUGUGUCAUACAACCACCAAGUUGUGUUGAUGACUUACUAGCUAGAUCAACAAAACAUUGGCCAGAUAAUUGAUUGAUUGUUAAAAUAAUUGUCAUGUUAAUCACUUAUAAAAUAUUUAUUAUCUGCAGUCCUCUCAUGUCUUAGGUCAAAGACAAACUUCCUUGAUCUUCUAUUGCUUUGAUCAAAACAAGUGACUGCUACCUAGAAAGCUGAUUUAUUUUAAAACCACGAAUUUCCUCCAAAAGUUCACAUAUCAACAAGUUUGAAACAAUUCAAAUGAAUAUUAGAUUUGAAUAAAAAUUGAAAGAGCUAAAAUGUUGUUCUCACUCACUGUACUCAUUGAGUUCGCCAGAAAUGCUGCUCAGCUCCAGUUCUUCUCUUGUCUGUGAACAACCAGGCUGUUUCUUCCACAACAACACAAAGCCUUCAUCAGCAGCCUUCAUGAGAUGGCAUAGCUUCAUUUAUUUCUGUCAUAAAGCAUUGUCUGCACACUCUAUUUGUAAUACCACAUCAGUUGGUCCAAUGUUGAUUAGAGCCAAAUGUUUGCAUGUUUUCAAAGGCCUGAGGUCAGGUCUGAAAUUUGAGACUAUUCGUGGAAUGUCCAUCUGUACAUUGAAAAGCUCACAGUUCAAAAUCCCCACUUGCUUCCAACCUGUCUGCAUUCUUCAGUGAUCUUUAAAUUAACCUUUAGCUGCACUCCUUUCUGCUCUGUCUAUCUCAGAUUUUGACACACUUUGUCUUUCCUUCCAUUUCCUUUCUUAUCUCUUUCUCCUCAUUUCUGUCCCGUGUAUGUGCUUUAUUUUGUAUGUCUUUGCUGAUUUGUGUUUGUCUGUCUAUGAUUAGCAGCAGCAAUCCGAACCCUGGCCAGAGUCCUGAUAUAGGGGCUUUCGACCAAAGAGCACCAGGUGCUAGGCUGGUUCAAAGUUGAGAGCCAGUGCUUUUUUGGUUCAAAUCUCGUGCCGCCCCAGAACGGGUUUGUGUUUCCAUUCGGAAGGAGCAAAGUUUGAGCUGCGUCAUUGCGCCACCACAAAACGUGUGUACGUCACUGCGUACGUAGCCGUUCAACAGCGUUUGCGCCGUACGGAAACCCACACAACAACAAUGGAGGACUUCAUUGGAGUGGUGUACAUGGCUUUGCUAGUGUGUCUCGCCAUCGCUGAAUAGCAAAACCUUCUGUUAGGGGUUACCCAUCGGCGUCGCCGUUCCAAUGCCUGGCGAUCACGUUUGAGAAGAAAGAUGUUUUUAGAUGUCACCCCGCCCCCUGCUCGGCUCUCAACUCUGGCCAAGUCUGGCCCAGCAACGAGUUGGUGCCCGAAAAAGCCCCAGUUUUUGGAGCCCGGAGCCGCAGCUCCGGUGGUGGAAAGACAAAAAACCAGCGCCAAGUCGGGCACCGACUCUGACUCCGAACGGGUUCCACCCCGGUCGAAAGCCCCUAAUAGAGGACUGGAGGCAGAGUGCAGACCUGGCAACACAACUCUUAGCUAUGUCUUCUUGUGCUUCCCCAUGUGAAGAAGUAGACCCUUAGUUCAAAUAAGUGUAGAAGGCCUCCAGUAUUUUGUGUCUGUGUUGCAAAAUGUCAUUGCUGCACAGUGUGAAAUCAGGAUCCCAUAUUUUGGAGCAAGACAUCAGUCUGCUAUCCCAGUACUUGUUUCUACAAGUACUGGGAUUUCUACAUUUUACAAAAUGUUUUGUUGCCUUGGAUUUUGAGCAGAAAAAAUACCCAGCUUUGGUAA